rnacentral:pre_miRNA from 1 species
AGAUCAGAAGGUGAUUGUGGCUUUGGGUGGAUACUAAUCAGCCACAGCACUGCCUGGUCAGA